CAGUCGCCGCGGGAAUACAGAGGGUGCAAGCGUUAAUCGGAUUUACUGGGCGUAAAGGGCGCGUGGGUGGUUAUGUAAGUGAGAUGUGAAAUCCCCGGGCUCAACCUGGGAACUGCAUCUUAUACUGCGUAGCUGGAGUGCGGUAGGGGGUAGUGGAAGUUCCGGUGUAGCGGUGAAAUGCGUAGAUAUCGGAAGGAACACCAGUGGCGAAGGCGGCUACCUGGACUGACACUGACACUGAGGCGCGAAAGCGUGGGGAGCAAACAGGAUUAGAUACCCGAGUAGUCCCUGUCUCUUAUAU
rnacentral:rRNA from 1 species